rnacentral:rRNA from 1 species
UGAGUAACGCGUGGAUAACCUACCCAGAGGUGGGGGAUAGCUCGGGGAAACCCGGAUUAAUACCGCACAUGACCGUGAGGUCAAAGGGGGCUCGCAAGGGCUCUCGCCAUUGGAGGGGUCCGCGUCCGAUUAGCUAGUUGGUAGGGUAAUGGCCUACCAAGGCGACGAUCGGUAGCCGGCCUGAGAGGGUGAUCGGCCACACUGGAACUGAGACACGGUCCAGACUCCUACGGGAGGCAGCAGUGGGGAAUUUUGCGCAAUGGGCUAACGCCUGACGCAGCAACGCCGCGUGGAGGAUGAAGGUCUUUGGAUUGUAAACUCCUGUCAGCAGGGAAAAAGCGAAUUGGCCUAACACGCCAGUGAGUUGAUUGUACCUGCAGAGGAAGCCCCGGCUAACUCUGUGCCAGCAGCCGCGGUAAUACAGAGGGGGCAAGCGUUAUUCGGAAUUAUUGGGCGUAAAGGGCGCGUAGGCGGCUUGGCAAGUGGAUGGUGAAAUCCCUCGGCUUAACCGAGGAACUGCCGUCCAAACUGCUUUGCUUGAGGCCGGGAGAGGCGAGUGGAAUUCCCAGUGUAGCGGUGAAAUGCGUAGAUAUUGGGAGGAACACCAGUGGCGAAGGCGGCUCGCUGGACCGGUUCUGACGCUGAUGCGCGAAAGCGUGGGGAGCAAACGGGAUUAGAUACCCCGGGUAGUCCACGCUGUAAACGAUGAGUGCUUGGUGUAGCGGGUAUCGACCCCUGCUGUGCCGAAGUCAACACAUUAAGCACUCCGCCUGGGGAGUUACGGUCGCAAGGCUUGAAAACUCAAAGGAAUUUGACGGGGGGCCCGCACAAAGCGGGUGGAACCAUGUGGUUCAAUUU